rfam:Rattus norvegicus chromosome 20, whole genome shotgun sequence.
GGGGAUUUAGCUCAGUGGUAGAGCGCUUGCCUAGCAAGCGCAAGGCCCUGGGUUCCAUCCCCAGCUCCG